UCAGACAUGCAAAGACACCAAUGAAUUUAAGAUGUUUGGUUUUAUCUGAAUAUCUGCUGUCACGCAUAACAUUCAUUAUUUGACCGUAUUUCAAAGAUAAACAAAAUCCAGUUACAACUCCGAACCGCUAGAUGGCAGAGUACACAAACACGAGGCCAUAUCUCGCGAGAAAGAUUUCCGCUGUUUGAAAAUCAACAACAUCAGCGAGCAGCCAGGAGGAAAGCAAUCUACCACACUCGUUCGGUCUUGUGUCAAAGCUCUGCGAAACUGGAGGGAGAAACUUGAGAGACUGUGCCGGAAGAAUGCUGGACAGAGUUCACUCAAAUUCAUUAAUUUCAAAGUUCAACAUGAAUAGUGGUGGUCCACUGCAGAAGCAAGCAUUUGAAAAAACAUCAGUUCUCAGUUAUUAAAGAUGCUGUGUUGAACAACUUCCCAGCAGCAACAGAACUGGAAGUGAGGAUGCAAUGGGGGCAUUUCAAACAGUCACCAGGGAG